CUGAUCUGGAUGCAGCCACUGUGGCACUGCUGGAUGUCCAGCCUGCCGAGAUUGGAGAGAACACCAACGGAGCACUGUUCCCUGGGAAAAUCAGCCAGAUGCUGCUGGCCCUUAAAUCUUCCAGCAACCUAACAUCCAUGGACUUAAAGGAUGCCUUAUCCACCAUGAUGGUAUUCCUCAUGGCAUUGCUUUUGACUAAGGAAUUCCUCUGACAGCAAUGAAGUACAGCAAUGGGGCCAUGUCCUGGGAAUUCACUGCCCUACCAGUUUCCCAUCUCCAAACAGCUGACCUGACAGAUUGGUGGAAUGGCUUUUGAAGGUUCAGUUUCAGCACCAGAAACCCUACACUCUGCAAUCCUCAGGCUGAUUUGCAUUUGAAUGAAUACUUCUGCAUCACUUUGCUUUUCUGGGAAUUACACAGAAAUCUAUCAACCUGUCUGACACUGUGCAAAGUUUGGACCCUGUGUCUGAAGUUUUCAUUAACAAAGAAAAUGUGUAUUUCUGAAAAACUUCUGUGUUUCUACAGCUCUGGUCAUCUUUUUCUCCAUUUGAUAAUCUCCAAAUCUGUGCGAUGAUUAAAACUGCAGAGACUUGG